rnacentral:rRNA from 1 species
AACGAACGCCGGCGGCGCGUUUUAAGCAUGCAAGUCGAACGGUAGAGUUCCCUCGGGAACUUGAGAGUGGCGAACGGGUGAGUAACACGUAGAUGAUCUGCCUUGAAGUUGGGGAUAGCCUAUAGAAAUAUGGGGUAAUACCGGAUAAUACCUUAGAACUCUGGUUUUUUGGUGAAAGGGCUUCGGCCUCGCUUUAAGAUGAGUCUGCGGUCUAUUAGCUAGUUGGUAGGGUAAGAGCCUACCAAGGCGACGAUAGAUAGCCGGCCUGAAAGGGUGACCGGCCACAUUGGGACUGAGACACGGCCCAAACUCCUACGGGAGGCAGCAGCUAAGAAUCUUCCGCAAUGGGCGCAAGCCUGACGGAGCGACGCCGCGUGGACGAAGAAUGCCGAGAGGUUGUAAAGUCCUUUUAUUUGCGAAGAAUAAUGCCUGUAGGUAAUGACAGGCAGAUGACGUUAGCUUAUGAAUAAGCUCCGGCCAAUUACGUGCCAGCAGCCGCGGUAACACGUAAGGAGCGAGCGUUGUUCGGAAUUAUUGGGCGUAAAGGGCAUGUAGGCGGUUACAUAAGUCUGAUGUGAAAUACUACAGCUUAACUGUGGGAACGCAUUGGAAACUGUGUGACUUGAAUCUGUGAGGGGUAACUGGAAUUCCUAGUGUAGGGGUGAAAUCUGUUGAUAUUAGGAAGAACACCGAUGGCGAAGGCAAGUUACUGGCACAUGAUUGACGCUGAGAUGCGAAAGCGUAGGGAGCGAACAGGAUUAGAUACCCUGGUAGUCUACGCUGUAAACGAUGUGCACUUGGUGUCGGGGUUUCUAAGCCUCGGUGCCGUAGCUAACGCGUUAAGUGCACCGCCUGGGGAGUACGGUCGCAAGGCUGAAACUCAAAGGAAUUGACGG